rnacentral:ncRNA from 1 species
CUAAGGGGUGCUUGGCUUAUUGGCCUUGCUGAGAACAGACCCAUGAACCUGAUCCGGAUAAUGCCGGCGUAGGUAGGACAA